UGGGGAAUCUUGCGCAAUGGGCGAAAGCCUGACGCAGCCAUGCCGCGUGAAUGAUGAAGGUCUUAGGAUUGUAAAAUUCUUUCACCGGGGACGAUAAUGACGGUACCCGGAGAAGAAGCCCCGGCUAACUUCGUGCCAGCAGCCGCGGUAAUACGAAGGGGGCUAGCGUUGCUCGGAAUUACUGGGCGUAAAGGGAGCGUAGGCGGACAUUUAAGUCAGGGGUGAAAUCCCGGGGCUCAACCUCGGAAUUGCCUUUGAUACUGGGUGUCUUGAGUGUGAGAGAGGUAUGUGGAACUCCGAGUGUAGAGGUGAAAUUCGUAGAUAUUCGGAAGAACACCAGUGGCGAAGGCGACAUACUGGCUCAUUACUGACGCUGAGGCUCGAAAGCGUGGGGAGCAAACAGGAUUAGAUACCCUGGUAGCCCACGCCGUAAAACGAUGAUUGCUAGUUGUCGGGAUGCAUGCAUUUCGGUGACGCAGCUAACGCAUUAAGCAAUCCGCCUGGGGAGUACGGUCGCAAGAUU
rnacentral:rRNA from 1 species